GACGAACGCUGGCGGCGUGCUUAACACAUGCAAGUCGAACGGUGAAGCGCCUUCCUUUUUGGUGGGUGUGGAUGAGUGGCGAACGGGUGAGUAACACGUGAGUAACCUGCCCCCUUCUUCUGGAUAACCGCAUGAAAGUGUUGCUAAUACGGGAUAUUCUGGGUCUGUCGCAUGAUGGGUCUGGGAAAGAUAUUGUUUCGGUGGGGGAUGGGCUCGCGUCCUAUCAGCUUGUUGGUGGGGUGAUGGCCUACCAAGGCGGUGACGGGUAGCCGGCUUGAGAGGGUGGACGGUCACACUGGGACUGAGAGACGGCACAGACUCCUACGGGAGGCAGAAGUGGGGAAUAUUGAACAAUGGGAGCAAGGCUGAUGCAGCGACGCCGCGUGAGGGAUGGAGGCCGUCGGGUUGUGAACCUCUUUCGCCAGUGAAGCAGGCCUGCCUCGUUUGUGGGUGGGUUGACGGUAGCUAGAUAAGAAGCGCCGGCUAACUACGUG
rnacentral:rRNA from 1 species